rnacentral:rRNA from 1 species
UACGUAGGGUGCAAGCGUUAAUCGGAAUUACUGGGCGUAAAGCGUGCGCAGGCGGUUUGCUAAGACAGGUGUGAAAUCCCCGGGCUUAACCUGGGAACUGCGCUUGUUACUGGCAGGCUUGAGUGUGGCAGAGGGGGGUGGAAUUCCACGUGUAGCAGUGAAAUGCGUAGAGAUGUGGAGGAACACCGAUGGCGAAGGCAGCCCCCUGGGCUAACACUGACGCCUCAUGCACGAAAGCGUGGGGAGCAAACAGG